AACGAACGCUGGCGGCAGGCUUAACACAUGCAAGUCGAGCGCCCCGCAAGGGGAGCGGCAGACGGGUGAGUAACGCGUGGGAAUCUACCCAUCUCUACGGAAUAACGCAUGGAAACGUGUGCUAAUACCGUAUACGUCCUUCGGGAGAAAGAUUUAUCGGAGAUGGAUGAGCCCGCGUUGGAUUAGCUAGUUGGUGGGGUAAAGGCCUACCAAGGCGACGAUCCAUAGCUGGUCUGAGAGGAUGAUCAGCCACACUGGGACUGAGACACGGCCCAGACUCCUACGGGAGGCAGCAGUGGGGAAUAUUGGACAAUGGGCGCAAGCCUGAUCCAGCCAUGCCGCGUGAGUGAUGAAGGCCCUAGGGUUGUAAAGCUCUUUCACCGGUGAGGAUAAUGACGGUAAGCGGAGAAGAAGCCCCGGCUAACUUCGUGCCAGCAGCCGCAGUAAGAC
rnacentral:rRNA from 1 species